UACGGAGGGGGCUAGCGUUGUUCGGAAUUACUGGGCGUAAAGUGCACGUAGGCGGCUUUGUAAGUUAGAGGUGAAAGCCCAGGGCUUAACCCUGGAAUUGCCUUUAAGACUGCAUCGCUAGAAUUGUGGAGAAGUAAGUGGAAUUCCGAGUGUAGAGGUGAAAUUCGUAGAUAUUCGGAAGAACACCAGUGGCGAAGGCGACUUACUGGACACAUAUUGACGCUGAGGUGCGAAAGCGUGGGGAGCAAACAGG
rnacentral:rRNA from 1 species